AUGGCCGGGCGCUUCGACCUCCAGGGCAGGCACGGCAAGUCCCGCGUCCGGGUCUCCCGCGUCUGGCGCCGCCCCGCCGAGGCCGGCGGCCACCUCUUCGUCGAGUGGAGCGUCGCCGUCAGCGUCGUCUCCGACUGCCUCCCCUCCUACACCUCCGACGACAACUCCGCCAUCGUCGCCACCGACUCCAUCAAGAACACCGUGUAUGUGAAGGCCAAGGAGUGCACGGAGGUGGUGUCCAUGGAGGAAUUCGCGGUCAUCCUCGGGAGGCAUUUCACCUCACUGUACUCGCAGGUCUCAGAGGCUACAGUGACAAUCGUGGAGCGCCCGUGGGAGCGUGUGGCUGUGGACGGGAAGCCCCAUUCGCAUGGGUUCAAACUUGGUUCUGAAAAGCACACCACUGAGGUCAACGUGAAGAAGUCUGGAAGCCUGCUUAUAAAUUCUGGGAUACAAGGAUACUCCCUGCUAAAGACAACUCAGUCUGGAUUUGAAGGAUUUGUGAGGGACCGCUACACUCUUCUUCCUGAAACAAGAGAAAGAAUUGUAGCAACAGAAGUAACUGCUUGGUGGAGGUAUCCGUUCGAGCAUAUUUCCCAGCUUCCGUCAAAGCCAUUUUGCUUCACACAAAGAUACCAGGAUGUAAAGAAAGUUCUCGCAGACACAUUCUUUGGUCCACCUGAUGUUGGUGUAUAUAGCCCAUCAGUGCAGAAUACAUUAUACCUCAUGGCUAGGGAAGUUCUUACCAGGUUCCCAGACAUAGCAUCUGUUCAGCUUAGGAUGCCAAACCUCCACUUUAUUCCCGUGAACCUAGGGGGCAAAGAAAAUCCAGGAUUGGUGAAGUUUGCUGAUGAUGUGUACAUGCCGACUGACGAACCACAUGGAACCAUCGAAGCAACGUUGAGCCGCGCCAACUCAAAGCUGUAA
rnacentral:rRNA from 1 species